rnacentral:rRNA from 1 species
CAGUUGGAAACGACUGCUAAUACCGCAUAAUGACUCCGGUCCAAAGAUUUAUCGCCCAAGGAUCAGCCCGCGUUAGAUUAGGUAGUUGGUGGGGUAAAAGCCUACCAAGCCUACGAUCUAUAGCUGGUCUGAGAGGAUGAUCAGCCACACUGGAACUGAGACACGGUCCAGACUCCUACGGGAGGCAGCAGUGAGGAAUAUUGCGCAAUGGGGGAAACCCUGACGCAGCCAUGCCGCGUGAGUGAAGAAGGCCUUCGGGUUGUAAAACUCUUUCAGAUGUGAAGAUGAUGACGGUAACAUCAGAAGAAG